AAAGACUUAGUCCUAACCUUACCGUUAAUUCUUACUCAACANNNNNNUGCAAGUAUCUGCACCCCAGUGUAAAUGCCCUAAGUCCCUUACCAAGGCAAAAGGAGCAGGCAUCAGGCACAACCACAAGGUAGCCCAAGACGCCUUGCUCUGCCACACCCCCACGGGUAUUCAGCAGUAGUUAACAUUAAGCAAUAGGCGCAAGCCUGACUUAGUUAGAGUAAUCAGGGUCGGUAAAUCUUGUGCCAGCCACCGCGGUCAUACAAGAGACCCAAGUUAACCGUUAUACGGCGUAAAGAGUGGAAUAUGACUAUCAUGAACGACUAAGGUUAAACCGCAGCCCAAGCUGUCAUAUGCCCAAGAUGCCUAGAAGCCCCCUCAACAAGUAACCUUAGAAUUAACGAUCGACCUACUCCACGAAAGCCAGGGCACAAACUGGGAUUAGAUACCCCACUAUGCCUAGCCCUAAAUCUUGAUGUUUCUCUCCUACAAAAACAUCCGCCUGAGAACUACGAGCACAAACGCUUAAAACUCUAAGGACUUGGCGGUACCCUAAACCCACCUAGAGGAGCCUGUUCUAUAAUCGAUAACCCACGAUACACCCAACCACUUCUUGCCAAAACAGCCUACAUACCGCCGUCGCCAGCCCACCUUCCUGAAAGUACAACAGUGAGCUUAAUAACCCUUUUUCGUUAACAAGACAGGUCAAGGUAUAGCCUACGAAGUGGAAGAAAUGGGCUACAUUUUCUAAGAUAGAAAAAGCAACGGAAGAGGACAUGAAAUUUGUCCUCAGAAGGCGGAUUUAGCAGUAAAGUGGGAUAAUAACGCCCUCUUUAAGCUGGCCCUAGGGUACGUACAUACCGCCCGUCACCCUCCUCACAAGCAUUAAGUAUACUAAUUAAUUCAUUAAACAGCUGAAGAUGAGGUAAGUCGUAACAAGGUAAGUGUACCGGAAGGUGUACUUAGCAUAC
rnacentral:ncRNA from 1 species